rnacentral:tRNA from 1 species
GCGAGUCUGGCCGAGUGGUUAAGGCGUUGUGUUUAGGCCGCAAUGGGCAUGCCCGCGUAGGUUCGAUCCCUACGGCUCGCA